rnacentral:rRNA from 1 species
AUUGCAGCCUGCAACUCGGCUGCAUGAAGCUGGAAUCGCUAGUAAUCGCGGAUCAGAAUGCCGCGGUGAAUACGUUCCCGGGUCUUGUACACACCGCCCGUCACACCAUGGGAGUUGGGAAUGCCCGAAGUCAGUGACCCAACCGAAAGGGGGGAGCUGCCGAAGGCAGGCCUGGUAACUGGGGUGAAGUCGUAACAAGGUAGC